rnacentral:rRNA from 1 species
UCAAGCUAUAAAGAGCGCAAGGGGAAUGCCUUGGCAUCAGGAGCCGACGAAGGACGUGACAAGCUGCGAUAAGCUUCGGGGAGGAGCAAAUAUCCUAUGAUCCGGAGAUUUCCGAAUGGGGAAACCCACUGGAGCAAUACUCCAGUAACGUGCAUUGAAUCAAAUAGGUGUACGUGGGGAACCGCCUGAACUGAAACAUCUAAGUAGGGCGAGGAAAAGACAUCAACCGAGAUUCUGCUAGUAGUGGCGAGCGAACGCGGAGGAGGCCAAACCGGAGGAUUUAUUCUCCGGGGUUCGGACUUGCAUCAAGAUCAGAGGAGCCUAAAAGAACGGCAUGGGAAGGCCGGCCACAGAGGGUGAGAGCCCCGUAUUUGAAAGGUGAAACUGACAGCGAGUAUCCAGAGUACCGCGGGACACGAGGAACCCCGUGGGAAAACGGGUGGACCACCAUCCAAGCCUAAAUACUACCUGAUGACCGAUAGAGGAGCAGUACCGUGAGGGAAAGGUGAAAAGGACCCCGGGAGGGGAGUGAAAGAGAACCUGAAACCUUGUGCUUACAAGCACUCAAAGCACGUUAAAGUGUGAUGAGGUACUUUUUGUAGAACGGUCCGGCGAGUUAUAGUAACGAGCAAGCUUAAGGUAUUGAGUACCGGAGGCGAAGCGAGAGCGAGUCUGAAUAGGGCGUAAAAAGUUCGUUGCCAUAGACCCGAAACCGGGUGACCUAACCAUGAGCAGGCUGAAGUGAGAGUAAAAUCUCAUGGAGGGCCGAACGCACGUUCGUUGCAAUGACCGGCGAUGACUUGUGGUUAGCGGAGAAAUUCCAAUCGAACUCGGAGAUAGCUGGUUCUCCCCGAAAUAGCUUUAGGGCUAGCGUUAUCUUAGAUUACCGGAGGUAAAGCACUGAAUGGGCUAGGGGGCGAUAAGCUUACUGAACCCUAUCAAACUCAGAAUGCCGGCUAAUUGAUGGAUAGCAGUCAGACAGUGUGAGAUAAGUUUCAUUGUCAAAAGGGAAACAGCCCAGACCUACAGCUAAGGUCCCAAAUGUAUGCUAAGUGGAAAACGAUGUGGAGUUGCGAAAACAACCAGGAUGUUGGCUUAGAAGCAGCCACUCAUUAAAAGAGUGCGUAAUAGCUCACUGGUCGAGUGACUCUGCGCGGAAAAUAUAACGGGGCUAAGCAUGCAACCGAAGCUUGGGAUUGUCUAAAGACAGUGGUAGGGGAGCGUCGUGUACGGGGUGAAGUCGCAUCGGAAGGAGCGGUGGACUGUACACGAGUGAGAAUGCCGGAAUGAGUAGCGAGAAUUAUGUGGGAAUCAUAAUGGCCGAAAAUCUAAGGUUUCUUGGGGAAGGUUCGUCCGCCCAAGGUAAGCCGGGAGCUAAGGCGAGGCCGAGAGGCGUAGUCGAUGCACAUACGGUAGAAAUUCCGUAGCCACCGAACUUUAAACCAGAAGGACACUUUCAGAUAGCGGGACCCAGCCGUUGGUAGAGCUGGGCGCAAGGGACCGAAAUAUAGUAGGGAAGUCCGCGAUGCUGGGAGGCGAGAAAAGCUCUGGUGUACACUAAGGUGCCCGUACCGCAAACCGACACAGGUAGGUAGGAAGAAGAUUCUAAGGCCAACGGGAGAAGGGUUGUUAAGGAACUCGGCAAAUUGACCCCGUAACUUCGGGAGAAGGGGUGCUCCAGAGAUGGAGCCGCAGAGAAUCGGCCCAAGCAACUGUUUACCAAAAACACAGGUUUGUGCUAAAUCGAAAGAUGACGUAUACGAGCUGACGCCUGCCCGGUGCUGGAAGGUUAAGAGGAGAUGUGCAAGCAUUGAAUCGAAGCCCCAGUGAACGGCGGCCGUAACUAUAACGGUCCUAAGGUAGCGAAAUUCCUUGUCAGGUAAG